rnacentral:rRNA from 1 species
UACGAAGGGGGCUAGCGUUGCUCGGAAUCACUGGGCGUAAAGCGCACGUAGGCGGCUUUCUAAGUCAGGGGUGAAAUCCUGGAGCUCAACUCCAGAACUGCCUUUGAUACUGGGGAGCUCGAGUCCGGAAGAGGUGAGUGGAACUCCGAGUGUAGAGGUGAAAUUCGUAGAUAUUCGGAAGAACACCAGUGGCGAAGGCGGCUCACUGGUCCGGUACUGACGCUGAGGUGCGAAAGCGUGGGGGAGCAAACAGG